rnacentral:rRNA from 1 species
UUGAGAGGGUAAGGCUCCCAGUAGACGACUGGGUUGAUAGGCCGGAUAUGGAAGCCCUGUAAGGGGUGGAGUUGACCGGUACUAAUAGGCCGAGGGCUUGUCCUCAGUUG